GACGAACGCUGGCGGCGUGCUUAACACAUGCAAGUCGAACGGUGAAGCUCCAGUUUGCUGGAGUGGAUCAGUGGCGAACGGGUGAGUAACACGUGAGAAACCUGCCUCUGACUCUGGAAUAAGCGCUGGAAACGGCGUCUUAUACUGGAUACGAGAAGGGUGCGCAUGGGCACUUUCUGGAAAGUUUUUCGGUUGGGGGUGGGCUCGCGGCCUAUCAGCUUGUUGGUGAGGUAAUGGCUCACCAAGGCGACGACGGGUAGCCGGCCUGAGAGGGCGACCGGCCACACUGGGACUGAGACACGGCCCAGACUCCUACGGGAGGCAGCAGUGGGGAAUAUUGCACAAUGGGCGAAAGCCUGAUGCAGCGACGCCGCGUGAGGGAUGACGGCCUUCGGGUUGUAAACCUCUUUCAGCAGGGAAGAAGCGAAAGUGACGGUACCUGCAGAAGAAGCACCGGCUAACUACGUG
rnacentral:rRNA from 1 species